UGUUAGUUGUCUGAGAGGUUUAAAGAGUCGUUUUUGAAAAACGAAGAAUCUUAUUUUUGAUUCCAAAGGUUCGAAUCCUUUACUAACCA